rnacentral:rRNA from 1 species
UACGGGGGGGGUAAGCGUUGUUCGGAAUUACUGGGCGUAAAGGGCUCGUAGGCGGCCAACUAAGUCGGACGUGAAAUCCCUCGGCUUAACCGGGGAACUGCAUCUGAUACUGGAUGGCUUGAGUUUGGGAGAGGGAUGCGGAAUUCCAGGUGUAGCGGUGAAAUGCGUAGAUAUCUGGAGGAACACCGGUGGCGAAGGCGGCAUCCUGGACCAACACUGACACUGAGGAGCGAAAGCCAGGGGAGCAAACGGG